rnacentral:rRNA from 1 species
GGGCCCGCACAAGCGGUGGAGCAUGUGGUUUAAUUCGAUGAUACGCGAGGAACCUUACCAGGGCUUAAAUGCAGAACGACAGAGGUGAACACCUCUCUUCGGACGGUCUGCAAGGUGCUGCAUGGUUGUCGUCAGCUCGUGCUGUGAAGUGUCGGGUUAAGUCCCAUAACGAGCGCAACCCCUAUUUCUAGUUGCCAGCGGUUCGGCCGGGGACUCUAGAGAAACUGCCAGCGUAAGCUGUGAGGAAGGUGGGGAUGACGUCAAAUCAUCACGGCCCUUACGUCCUGGGCUACACACGUGCUACAAUGGUUGGUACAGAGGGCAGCGAAGCCGCAAGGUGGAGCG